UAGCUCAGUGGGUUGGAGCGUGGUGCUGAUAACACCAAGGUCGUGGGUUUGAUCCCUGU
rnacentral:tRNA from 1 species